GACGAACGCUGGCGGCGUGCCUAACACAUGCAAGUCGAACGAAGCACUUCUUUAGAAGCAUUCGUGUGGAAGAAGAAAUGACUGAGUGGCGGACGGGUGAGUAACGCGUGAGUAACCUGCCCCAGAGAGCGGGAUAGCGUUUGGAAACGAACGGUAAUACCGCAUAAAGUAUUAGAUUCGCAUGGAUUUAAUACCAAAGAUUUAUCGCUCUGGGAUGGACUCGCGUUGGAUUAGAUAGUUGGUGGGGUAACGGCCUACCAAGUCAACGAUCCAUAGCCGGACUGAGAGGUUGAACGGCCACAUUGGGACGGAGACACGGACCAGACUCCGACGGGAGGCAGCAGUGGGGGAUAUUGCACAAUGGGCGCAAGCCUGAUGCAGCAACGCCACGUGAAGGAAGACGGUUUUCGGAUUGUAAACUUCUGUUCUUAGUGAAGAAGAAUGACGGUAACUAAGGAGCAAGCCACGGCUAACUACGUGCCAGCCGCCGCAGUAAAAC
rnacentral:rRNA from 1 species